AUUGAACGCUGGCGGCAGGCCUAACACAUGCAAGUCGGGCGAGUGGCGGACGGGUGAGUAAUGUAUGGGUAACUGCCUGAUGGAGGGGGAUAACUACUGGAAACGGUAGCUAAUACCGCAUACCAUCAGAUGAACCCAUAUGGGAUUAGCUGGUAGGUAGGGUAACGGCUUACCUAGGCGACGAUCCCUAGCUGGUCUGAGAGGAUGAUCAGCGACACCGGGACUGAGAAACGGCCCAGACGCCUACGGGAGGCAGCAGUGGGGAAUAUGGCACAAUGGGCGCAAGCCUGAUGCAGCCAUGCCGCGUGUAUGAAGAAGGCCGUCGGGUUGUAAAGUACUUUCAGUCGGGAGGCGUUACCGGCAGAAGAAGCACCGGCUAACUCCGUGCCAGCAGCCGCGGUAAUUC
rnacentral:rRNA from 1 species